GCUCUCAGAGCGGCGCGGCGGGUCGGUGCCGCCAUGGCUCGGCCAGUCCCGGUUCUGCUCCCGGCUCUGCUCCCGGCUCUGCUCCCGGCUCUGCUCCCGGUUCUGCUGCUGCCAUCGCUGGCGCUGCCGUCGCCUCCUCCGGGGAGCGACCCCCCUGUCCCCCGGGCGGUUCCGCUGCACUCCCCGCAGCCGAUGCUUCCCCGGGGAGUGGCGGGUGCGAUGGGCAUCCCGACUGCGUGGCCGGGGAGGAUGAAGCAGGGCUGCCCCACCCCGACAGAGACGAGUCCCGAGGGGACCCCCUGACGCGACCCCCGGCAGCACAGAGACUUCAGCUCCUCCUGUGCCAGGAGACUCUGUGCCAGCAAGGAGUCAAGGCCACAUCUGGGUCUUGAUCACUGCAGUGCUCCUGAGCAUCCUCAUAGCUGUGGGUUCUGUUGCUGUCUGGGGCCUGUCCAAAGCAAAAAGCAGAUCUGACCUCUUUGGGCUUGAAAAACUAUCCAGGGAGCAGCUGAUGCCUGACAAGAGCCAGACAGGCUUGUUUCACUGAAGGGGAUCUUUGCCAUGAGGUGACAAGAUGGGAGUAGCCCCUCUCUCCCUCCUGCUCACCACACACUGACUGAAGUGGACAGAAGCUCUCAAGUCUUGGUUGUUGCACUGGAAUAACAAGACUCUUGGCAAUGAGCCUUAGAUUGUAGGACUACAUCAGCUCUAAGAAAUAGCUCAGGACCUUCCCUGGGACUGUGAAAUUGCCUCACAAGGGAGGUAGAAAUGUCUCUGUUGUUCUUGCCUCCAGGUGGUGUUAAUGCUGAUUUUCACCAGUGUGGCCUUGGGCCCAAAGAUUUUGUUCUCCCUGAAACUACAGCUAUAAAACUGUUUCCUUCCAUUUCCAGCCAAGAGACUUUUUUCACCUGCACCAUUCUUCCCCCUGGAUCUUGUCAGGGAAGGGGGGCUCACUGGGUGGAUCAGACAUGCUCCAUGUUUGCACUGGUGUUUUGAUGCAGCUCAGUCUGACCUGCAGGAAGCUCUGCUGAGAGGUCAGCUGCAGCACUGGGUGUAGGAAAGCUUCCAGCCUGCUCUGGCUUUGCUGUGCUGCCACCCUGAGUCAGGCUAGGGCAAGCAGCUUUUUGGCACACUCCCCUCCAGCAAGGAGCUUGGCCCUUUGCACAAUUCCAUUUCCCUGGUGCUGAAUUUGGGAUGCUGAUUCUCUAACAGUGUCAACUGUGCCUUCCUUAAAACUGGUUUGAUGUGAGUGGUGUCCCUGAAGGGUUCCUACUGGGACUGAUACUGUUUACUGUCUUCCUCAGUGGGGUGUGUAGUGGUGUUCAGGGCACCCUCAGCAGUUCUGUGGGUGACACCAAGCUGAGGGGUGCAGGGAGGGACCUCCAGGCUGGGGGAGUGAAGCCCCUGAAGUUCAGUAAGGUCAAGUGUGAGGUCCUGCACCUUGGUCAGGGAAUCCCUGAAGGCUUUGGGGAGACCUUACAGAGCAUUUUGAAGGUAUAAAGGAGGCUUGUAAGACAGGACAAGGGUAAACAGUUGUAAACUGACAGAAAGUAGGUUUGGGUUGGACAUUAGGAAGAAAUGUUUUACAGUGAGCCCCUGUCCCAGGUUGCCCAGAGAAGCUGUGGCUGCCCCAUCCCUGGCAGUGUUGAAGGCCCCAGGUUGGAUGGGGCUUGGAGCACCCUGGGCUGGUGGGAGGUGUCUCUGACCAUGGGGUUGGGACUGGAUGAGCUUUAAUGUCCUUUCACACCCAAACCAUUCCAUGAUUCUGUGAGAUUUUGAGUAGCCUUUGGGUUUUUGUUUGUUUUGUUGUUGUGUUUGUUUGGUUUUUUCUUUCAGCUUGAAAUAACUCAUGUCUUGGAUCAAAGACCAUCAGUGUGCUCCUUGUAGCUCCUUCCCAACAGCUCAGUGCUCUUCUCAGGACUGGCAGUGGGGUCUGGACAUCACUGAUGGGUGCCUCCAGUUCAGCACUGACCUCCUGUUCCUUGGGGUGCACAAAAGGAGAGCUGAUCUCUGCUGAUCUCUGUGACUGAACUGAGAGAACUGAGCUUGCCAUGCAGACAGCAGCCAGCAGCCUUACAUAAAAAGUCUACUCCUGGGUAGUGUGUGAGUGUGCUGCUGUACCCCAUGGGAAACCCUUCUACAUGUAGUGUGGAGAGCUGAGUUAUUCCAGUGCUGCUGUUUUCAGGACUGAGAAGUCAUUUGCAACUCAGUCUUGCUUCUGUUUCCAUAGAGACAUGGAGACUCCUGUUGGUGAAUGAUACAGAAGAAUAAAGAGCUGGAAACUA